rnacentral:rRNA from 1 species
GAUGAGCGCCGGCGGCGUGCCUAAUACAUGCAAGUCGAGCGAACAGACGAGGAGCUUGCUCCUCUGACGUUAGCGGCGGACGGGUGAGUAACACGUGGAUAACCUACCUAUAAGACUGGGAUAACUUCGGGAAACCGGAGCUAAUACCGGAUAAUAUAUUGAACCGCAUGGUUCAAUAGUGAAAGACGGUUUUGCUGUCACUUAUAGAUGGAUCCGCGCCGCAUUAGCUAGUUGGUAAGGUAACGGCUUACCAAGGCAACGAUGCGUAGCCGACCUGAGAGGGUGAUCGGCCACACUGGAACUGAGACACGGUCCAGACUCCUACGGGAGGCAGCAGUAGGGAAUCUUCCGCAAUGGGCGAAAGCUUGACGGAGCAACGCCGCGUGAGUAAUGAAGGUCUUCGGAUCGUAAAACUCUGUUAUUAGGGAAGAACAAAUGUGUAAGUAACUAUGCACGUCUUGACGGUACCUAAUCAGAAAGCCACGGCUAACUACGUG